rnacentral:misc_RNA from 1 species
AAGGACUGUAGUAACUCUCAAGGAUUAUUGAGUUUCUAAAAUAAGCAAGAAACAAAACCGAGGUUGCAGCAGGUGGGCAAGAGGCAGCAUCCAUUCUUGUCAUCUUAUAAAGCAUAACUCAUUUGUUCUAAACUCAAAAUUCAUAAUAAUACUUAAGGGAUGGAUACAUCUCAACAAAAUGCCAACUGUAACCAACCAAACAAUCCCUUAAUCAUAAUGGCUUCAAGUUUUUUCCUAGAAGGACAUUUCUUUUCUCAUAAUUAUUUUUUUUUUAGUUGCAUGAACUUCGGAAAUCAAAA